GGGUUUGUUUUAAAAACUACUCUGAUAUGGACCAAGCACAAGAGAGAACUUUUGGGUCCAUCCCUGGGUAGAAGGCAGUGAUUAUGGGGGAACAUUGAUGCCAUGAACCUUAUCCUAAUUACAAAAAAAGUUUCCAAGUUCGGAGUUGUAGCAACUGUCUCAGAGCCAGUGCCAGUCCUAUCUUCUCUGUUGAUCCCCCUCCCAUGCUGAAGACCACCAGCAACACACCUGUGUCUGAGCAGAGCUGGGCUCAUUGGCUCCUUUGCAACCAGGACAGCAGCCCGACACAGGAACCCACUCCAUGGGGAAGUGGAGGCUCCUGGCCAAGAGGGGGUGCAGAAAUGGCGGAAUAUGCUCAGGCUUUCGGACAGUAAUGAGGCAGCAGGAACACUUGCUUAUGUUUAAGGUUUGGAUAGAAUUCUGGCCAUUGUCUUGGAUGUAGCUGGGCUUGGUGACCAUUUCUGCAACUCUGCGGCUCCCCCAUCCUCUGUUGGGGUGUCCCUGCAGCCUCUUGCAGCUCCCCUUCUUACCUAAAGCUGGAGAAGCACCCCACUGCCACUAGGGAGCCAUGCAGUGCCAGCCCUGGCCUCACUGCUGGGUCCCGAGC
rnacentral:lncRNA from 1 species